UACGAAGGGGGCUAGCGUUGCUCGGAAUCACUGGACGUAAAGGGUGCGUAGGCGGGUCUUUAAGUCAGGGGUGAAAUCCUGGAGCUCAACUCCAGAACUGCCUUUGAUACUGAAGAUCUUGAGUUCGGGAGAGGUGAGUGGAACUGCGAGUGUAGAGGUGAAAUUCGUAGAUAUUAGGAAGAACACCAGUGGCGAAGGCGGCUCACUGGUCCGGUACUGACGCUGAGGUGCGAAAGCGUGGGGAGCAAACAGG
rnacentral:rRNA from 1 species